GUGCUUCUUGGAAUCAGCCCUAGACCAAACACAUUUAGUUAUUCCGAGUUAAAAGCUGCCACCGAAGACUUUAAUCCUUCAAACAAGUUAGGAGAAGGGGGGUUCGGACCUGUGUACAAGAUGGGAAAGUUGUAGCUGUAAAACAACUUUCAGUAGCAUCAAACCAGGGGAAAGAUCAGUUUGUUACUGAGAUAGCUACCAUAUCAGCAGUACAACAUCGUAAUCUUGUCAAACUAUACGGGUGCUGCAUCGGAGGAAAUAGGCGCCUCCUUGUUUACGAGUAUCUUGUGAACAAAAGCCUUGAUCAUGCACUUUGGGG